rnacentral:rRNA from 1 species
AGAGUUUGAUCCUGGCUCAGAUUGAACGCUGGCGGCAUGCCUAACACAUGCAAGUCGAACGGAAACGAUGGGAGCUUGCUCCCAGGCGUCGAGUGGCGGACGGGUGAGUAAUACUUAGGAAUCUGCCCAUUAGUGGGGGACAACUCGGGGAAACUCGAGCUAAUACCGCAUACGCCCUACGGGGGAAAGCGGGGGAUCUUCGGACCUCGCGCUAAUGGAUGAGCCUAAGUCGGAUUAGCUAGUUGGUGAGGUAAAAGCUCACCAAGGCGACGAUCCGUAGCUGGUCUGAGAGGACGAUCAGCCACACUGGGACUGAGACACGGCCCAGACUCCUACGGGAGGCAGCAGUGGGGAAUAUUGGACAAUGGGGGCAACCCUGAUCCAGCAAUGCCGCGUGUGUGAAGAAGGCCUGCGGGUUGUAAAGCACUUUCAGUAGAGAAGAAAAGCUUAGGCUUAAUACCCCUGAGUCUUGACGUAACCUACAGAAGAAGCUCCGGCUAACUCCGUGCCAGCAGCCGCGGUAAUACGGAGGGAGCGAGCGUUAAUCGGAAUUACUGGGCGUAAAGCGCGCGUAGGCGGCUUUGUAAGUCGGAUGUGAAAGCCCUGGGCUUAACCUGGGAAUGGCAUUCGAUACUGCAGAGCUAGAGUAUGGUAGAGGGAAGUGGAAUUUCCGGUGUAGCGGUGAAAUGCGUAGAUAUCGGAAGGAACACCAGUGGCGAAGGCGACUUCCUGGGCCAAUACUGACGCUAAGGUGCGAAAGCGUGGGGAGCAAACAGGAUUAGAUACCCUGGUAGUCCACGCCGUAAACGAUGAGAACUAGAUGUCGGGAGAAUUUGUCUUUCGGUGUCGCAGC